AGUUCUCAUACUGGAGGGCCUGACACCAUAGUUGAAGAUAAAAGAGUGACACAUCUGUGUGUUUGUGUUUGGCGAUCACUAACAAGGCCAUCAAUAAGAGUCUACCACACAAUACUCUUAUGUCAGCAGAGCAGUGUCCAGUAGAGCAAGAAGACGACAAUCUCAAGAGCACAGUGAGCUGUUCCCUAU